rnacentral:rRNA from 1 species
UAAUACCGGAUAGAUCAAAGAAACUGGAAUGUUCCUUGAUCCAAAGCUCCGGCGUCCAAGGAUGGAUCUGCGGCCUAUCAGGUAGUAGUGGGUGUAACGUACCUACUAGCCUACGACGGGUACGGGUUGUGAGAGCAAGAGCCCGGAGAUGGAUUCUGAGACAUGAAUCCAGGCCCUACGGGGCGCAGCAGGCGCGAAAUCUUUACAAUGCAGGAAACUGCGAUAAGGGGACCCCGAGUGCCAGCAUCUAAUGCUGGCUGUCCAGCUGUGUAAAUAGCAGUUGUUAGCAAGGGCCGGGCAAGACCGGUGCCAGCCGCCGCGGUAACACCGGCGGCCCGAGUGGUAACCGAUUUUAUUGGGUUUAAAGGGUCCGUAGCCGGCCUGUUAAGUCUCUUGGGAAAUCUGGCGGCUCAAUCGUCAGGCGUUC